rnacentral:lncRNA from 1 species
CACUCAGCUUUCUGAAAUGGUGUCCCACCACAAGGACUGGAGAAGGGACUUUACUGAAGACUCUAAGGAGGACCUGUAUCUGUUGGGAUCCUUAGGGCAAGCCACAGAAACAAGCUUUGGAUACUUGAAGCAGAAAAUGGAGUUAUUGAAGACUAUUGUGGAGUUUACUGUGAGACAGAGAGCCAGGCUGGGGAGCUGUACCACUUAGAAUGAGAUCCAAACUCACACCAUAGUUCCAUCCUUGAGGUCACCAUGUUGCUGCCACCCCUCCUGCCACACCGCCACUGAAGCUUUGGAUGCUGGAUUCUGGGCACAGCUGGGAGAAGUGUUGCUUAUUACCAUUUUAAUAUGUUUUCUUUCAAGACCUUUUCAAAAUAUACAUACGUAUUUUUAUUUCUAUUCAAAAUGGGAUACAUUUUUGAAGGUUAGCAAUAUAUUGUGAACAUUUUCUUUCCAUGCUCAGAAACAUUUUUCUAUAGUAUAAUUUAUAGUGAUAUAUAGUAAACUAUCGCAUAGACCUACCAUGGUUUACCUAACAAAUCCCAAAUCAUUUGUGCCAUUUCUAAAUUUUUAUUAUCUUAUGCAAUGCUUUAAUGAACAUCCUUGCAUUUAUAUUUUAUACAAUUUUAGAAGUUGAAUUACUGGUUCAAAAUACAUGGUGAUUUUUAAUUCUU